CCGCCCUGGGCGCGCAGGCGCGGAGCGAGGUAGCGGAGACGUGGCAGGAGCUCGUCCCGCAUCCGGCUCGGGUUCCUGGAGCCGCCCGCCGAGGGCGAGCCGUGCCACGGAGGCGGAGUGGGAGAAAGGGAAUGUUUACAGAACAGUUUGCAUCCCGCGAGGAAGAGAGAGAGAGAAAAGACAGCCGGAGGGAGGAAGGGAGAGCCUGGGGCAGACGCGUCCGUGUGCCGCAGGAACGGUGGCCGGAACUGGGCGAGUGGCACAGAGGUGCGCCAGCCUGCAGGCCGCCCUCGGGCUGCCUUUCCGGUGAGGACCUGAGCUGUAGGCAAGUAAACCUGUUGAUGCCACAAAGAAAAUGGCAACAGUACUAGCGAAGUGUUUCAACUACUGCCCGGCGUUUCUGCCUGCUACUGGCUCCGUCUCUUAUCUAGCUCCUUCUAUGGCUAUCUUGGUAGGUGCUCCGCACCAGCUGAAAGGAAACUUUAAAGGCCAAUGUUCUCCAGCCCAGCCUUGAACAAGCUCACUAAACCACCACGACAAAGAACGCUUUGUAACCAUGUGCCAGCUGAGACACUGCCCCUCCUCUGUGUAGAACCCUGCCUUCUCUGGGCCUGUAAAAAUAAAGCCUAGAAGAGAAAAUAAACGAUGUGUGAAGGAAA